rnacentral:rRNA from 1 species
UAAUACCUGAUAAGCCCACGGGGUCUUCGGAUUCUGCGGGAAAAGGGGGGGACCUUCGGGCCUUCUGUCAUCAGAUGAGUCUGCGUACCAUUAGCUAGUUGGUAGGGUAAAGGCCUACCAAGGCGACGAUGGUUAGCUGGUCUGAGAGGAUGAUCAGCCACACUGGAACUGAGACACGGUCCAGACUCCUACGGGAGGCAGCAGUGGGGAAUUUUGCGCAAUGGGGGAAACCCUGACGCAGCAACGCCGCGUGAGUGAUGAAGGCUCUUGGGUCGUAAAGCUCUGACAGAGGGAAAGAAGUGUAUUGUGGCUAAUAUCCACGAUACUUGACGGUACCCUCAAAGGAAGCACCGGCUAACUCCGUGCCAGCAGCCGCGGUAAUACGGGGGGUGCAAGCGUUGUUCGGAUUUAUUGGGCGUAAAGCGCGUGUAGGCGGUUUGUUAAGUCUGAUGUGAAAGCCCUGGGCUCAACCCGGGAAGUGCAUUGGAAACUGGCAGACUUGAAUACGGGAGAGGAGAGUGGAAUUCCUGGUGUAGGAGUGAAAUCCGUAGAUAUCAGGAGGAACACCGGUGGCGAAGGCGGCUCUCUGGACCGAUAUUGACGCUGAGACGCGAAAGCGUGGGUAGCAAACAGGAUUAGAUACCCUGGUAGUCCACGCCGUAAACGAUGAGUACUAGGUGUUGCGGGUA